rnacentral:rRNA from 1 species
GACGAACGCUGGCGGCGUGCUUAACACAUGCAAGUCGAACGGAAAGGCCCUGCUUUUGUGGGGUGCUCGAGUGGCGAACGGGUGAGUAACACGUGAGUAACCUGCCCUUGACUUUGGGAUAACUUCAGGAAACUGGGGCUAAUACCGGAUCGGAGCUCCUGCUGCGUGGUGGGGGUUGGAAAGUUUCGGCGGUUGGGGAUGGACUCGCGGCUUAUCAGCUUGUUGGUGGGGUAGUGGCUUACCAAGGCUUUGACGGGUAGCCGGCCUGAGAGGGUGACCGGCCACAUUGGGACUGAGAUACGGCCCAGACUCCUACGGGAGGCAGCAGUGGGGAAUAUUGCACAAUGGGCGGAAGCCUGAUGCAGCAACGCCGCGUGCGGGAUGACGGCCUUCGGGUUGUAAACCGCUUUCGCCUGUGACGAAGCGUGAGUGACGGUAAUGGGUAAAGAAGCACCGGCUAACUACGUGCCAGCCGCCGCAGUAA